rnacentral:misc_RNA from 1 species
CAGACAUAAGAAAAAUCUUCUUACUUACUCUAAAACUCUUUUGUUCGAAAGUCCAAAUACUCUCUGUUUUUACUCUUAUGAUAUGUUCGACUACUCAAGUUUCUUCUCUCCCCUGUUUUCAUUCCACAAGCUACUGAAAGACAUCACCCUACAAGCCUAUGAGAGGUUUAUGGGGAACACAAAAUGAAAAUGGAGACUGAUCCGAUCCGUCACAUUCAUAUAACUUUAAAGGUGCUGGCUAGAGACUGAGUAAUGAUGAUGGAGUUCACGAAGGGAGAAUGUUACGGAAUAGAGAAAUCAAAAUUUGAAGGUGCUAGACGGGUAAUAAUGAUUUGAGUAUAGGGAUAUUUACAAAUGCUUGUAAGAUGUGUGAUGAGAGGAUGUAUGUGUAGUGUGUGUAAACGUAUCAUUGUAUAGAUGAGAUAAAUGUGCAAGUUGUGGAUGGAUGUGUAGGAUGUGGAUGGUGUAGAUGGAUGUGGAUGGUGUCGAUGAUGAAUGUGUAGGAUGUGGAUGGUAUAUGUGAAUGUAAAGGAUGUGGAUGGUGUAGAUGAAUGUGUAGGAAGUGGAUGGUGUAGAUGAUGAAUGUGUAGGAUGUGGAUGCUAGUGAAUGUAAAGGAUGUGGAUGGUGUAGAUGAAUGUAUAGGAAGUGGAUGGUGAAGAUAAGUUUGUGGAAGGUAUGUGGCUUGUGAAAAUGAUGUAUACUAGUCCUUUACGAUAAGUAGCCAGUCAUUUUAACGUCAGAGAUAUACGAUAAAUUUUACCCGAGUUAUUUUCAGAAUUAUA